CUACGGGUGGCUCCAGUGGGGAAUAUUGGACAAUGGGCGCAAGCCUGAUCCAGCAAUACCGCGUGUGUGAAGAAGGCCUGCGGGUUGUAAAGCACUUUCAAUUGUGAAGAAAAGCGAGGGCUUAAUACGCUCUUGUCUUGACGUUAACUUUAGAAGAAGCACCGGCUAACUCUGUGCCAGCAGCCGCGGUAAUACAGAGGGUGCGAGCGUUAAUCGGAAUUACUGGGCGUAAAGCGUACGUAGGCGGUUUAGUAAGUCAGAUGUGAAAGCCCUGGGCUAAACCCGGGAACUGCAUUUGAAACUGCUAGACUAGAGUGUGGUAGAGGGAAGUGGAAUUCCGGGUGUAGCGGUGAAAUGCGUAGAUAUCCGGAGGAACACCAGUGGCGAAGGCGACUUCCUGGACCAACACUGACGCUGAGGUACGAAAGCGUGGGUAGCAAAUAGGAUUAGAUACCCCGGUAGUC
rnacentral:rRNA from 1 species